rnacentral:tRNA from 1 species
AUUCAAAUAGCUUAUAUUUAGAGUAUAACACUGAAGAUGUUAGGGAGAUUAUAUAAUCUUUGAGUA